rnacentral:rRNA from 1 species
CAUAGGUUAAUGAGGCGAACCGGGGGAACUGAAACAUCUAAGUACCCCGAGGAAAAGAAAUCAACCGAGAUUCCCCCAGUAGCGGCGAGCGAACGGGGAGGAGCCCAGAGCCUGAAUCAGUGUGUGUGUUAGUGGAAGCGUCUGGAAAGGCGCGCGAUACAGGGUGACAGCCCCGUACACAAAAAUGCACAUACUGUGAGCUCGAUGAGUAGGGCGGGACACGUGGUAUCCUGUCUGAAUAUGGGGGGACCAUCCUCCAAGGCUAAAUACUCCUGACUGACCGAUAGUGAACCAGUACCGUGAGGGAAAGGCGAAAAGAACCCCGGCGAGGGGAGUGAAAAAGAACCUGAAACCGUGUACGUACAAGCAGUGGGAGCCUCUUAAUGGGGUGACUGCGUACCUUUUGUAUAAUGGGUCAGCGACUUAUAUUCUGUAGCAAGGUUAACCGAAUAGGGGAGCCGAAGGGAAACCGAGUCUUAACUGGGCGUUAAGUUGCAGGGUAUAGACCCGAAACCCGGUGAUCUAGCUAUGGGCAGGUUGAAGGUUGGGUAACACUAACUGGAGGACCGAACCGACUAAUGUUGAAAAAUUAGCGGAUGACUUGUGGCUGGGGGUGAAAGGCCAAUCAAACCGGGAGAUAGCUGGUUCUCCCCGAAAGCUAUUUAGGUAGCGCCUCGUGAAUUCAUCUCCGGGGGUAGAGCACUGUUUCGGCAAGGGGGUCAUCCCGACUUACCAACCCGAUGCAAACUGCGAAUACCGGAGAAUGUUAUCACGGGAGACACACGGCGGGUGCUAACGUCCGUCGUGAAGAGGGAAACAACCCAGACCGCCAGCUAAGGUCCCAAAGUCAUGGUUAAGUGGGAAACGAUGUGGGAAGGCCCAGACAGCCAGGAUGUUGGCUUAGAAGCAGCCAUCAUUUAAAGAAAGCGUAAUAGCUCACUGGUCGAGUCGGCCUGCGCGGAAGAUGUAACGGGGCUAAACCAUGCACCGAAGCUGCGGCAGCGACGCUUAUGCGUUGUUGGGUAGGGGAGCGUUCUGUAAGCCUGUGAAGGUGGCCUGUGAGGGUUGCUGGAGGUAUCAGAAGUGCGAAUGCUGACAUAAGUAACGAUAAAGCGGGUGAAAAGCCCGCUCGCCGGAAGACCAAGGGUUCCUGUCCAACGUUAAUCGGGGCAGGGUGAGUCGACCCCUAAGGCGAGGCCGAAAGGCGUAGUCGAUGGGAAACAGGUUAAUAUUCCUGUACUUGGUGUUACUGCGAAGGGGGGACGGAGAAGGCUAUGUUGGCCGGGCGACGGUUGUCCCGGUUUAAGCGUGUAGGCUGGUUUUCCAGGCAAAUCCGGAAAAUCAAGGCUGAGGCGUGAUGACGAGGCACUACGGUGCUGAAGCGACAAAUGCCCUGCUUCCAGGAAAAGCCUCUAAGCAUCAGGUAACAUUAAAUCGUACCCCAAACCGACACAGGUGGUCAGGUAGAGAAUACCAAGGCGCUUGAGAGAACUCGGGUGAAGGAACUAGGCAAAAUGGUGCCGUAACUUCGGGAGAAGGCACGCUGAUAUGUAGGUGAAGCGACUUGCUCGUGGAGCUGAAAUCAGUCGAAGAUACCAGCUGGCUGCAACUGUUUAUUAAAAACACAGCACUGUGCAAACACGAAAGUGGACGUAUACGGUGUGACGCCUGCCCGGUGCCGGAAGGUUAAUUGAUGGGGUUAGCGGUAACGCGAAGCUCUUGAUCGAAGCCCCGGUAAACGGCGGCCGUAACUAUAACGGUCCUAAGGUAGCGAAAUUCCUUGUCGGGUAAGUUCCGACCUGCACGAAUGGCGUAAUGAUGGCCAGGCUGUCUCCACCCGAGACUCAGUGAAAUUGAACUCGCUGUGAAGAUGCAGUGUACCCGCGGCAAGACGGAAAGACCCCGUGAACCUUUACUAUAGCUUGACACUGAACAUUGAGCCUUGAUGUGUAGGAUAGGUGGGAGGCUUUGAAGUGUGGACGCCAGUCUGCAUGGAGCCGACCUUGAAAUACCACCCUUUAAUGUUUGAUGUUCUAACGUGGGCCCCUUACCGGGGUUGCGGACAGUGUCUGGUGGGUAGUUUGACUGGGGCGGUCUCCUCCUAAAGAGUAACGGAGGAGCACGAAGGUUGGCUAAUCCUGGUCGGACAUCAGGAGGUUAGUGCAAUGGCAUAAGCCAGCUUGACUGCGAGCGUGACGGCGCGAGCAGGUGCGAAAGCAGGUCAUAGUGAUCCGGUGGUUCUGAAUGGAAGGGCCAUCGCUCAACGGAUAAAAGGUACUCCGGGGAUAACAGGCUGAUACCGCCCAAGAGUUCAUAUCGACGGCGGUGUUUGGCACCUCGAUGUCGGCUCAUCACAUCCUGGGGCUGAAGUAGGUCCCAAGGGUAUGGCUGUUCGCCAUUUAAAGUGGUACGCGAGCUGGGUUUAGAACGUCGUGAGACAGUUCGGUCCCUAUCUGCCGUGGGCGCUGGAGAACUGAGGGGGGCUGCUCCUAGUACGAGAGGACCGGAGUGGACGCAUCACUGGUGUUCGGGUUGUCAUGCCAAUGGCACUGCCCGGUAGCUAAAUGCGGAAGAGAUAAGUGCUGAAAGCAUCUAAGCACGAAACUUGCCCCGAGAUGAGUUCUCCCUGACUCCUUGAGAGUCCUGAAGGAACGUUGAAGACGACGACGUUGAUAGGCCGGGUGUGUAAGCGCAGCGAUGCGUUGAGCUAACCGGUACUAAUGAACCGUGAGG